UGUUCGAUUCGGUCGGCCUGAUUCCAUUCAGCCACCGGUUCGAUGCUGAAACGACGUCUCGAAAAAGAUAGACGCUGGCUCGGUGCUCGGGGCAACCAGGGUCCAGGACAUUGACUGCGGAUUGAACUCGGCUCAACAGGCGUCGUAGAAGUUCCUCCCCAUAGAGGCCCACGUAUAGAGAGCGAAAGACGGGACGAUGAGACCUUCGAUUCAGUUCGCUGUCUGACCAUGAUGAGAACGGAGUAUUUGAUGGGGUUCGGAGUUGCCCCAGCCACUCCUGCCUGGCGGCCGAAGCUAAUGGGUGCUUAUGCUGUUCGACUGAGAGCAAAACUCGGCGACGAGAGUGAACCAUUCCUCCAAUCUGCCCUCAAUGCCGCGUCUCUUCGUUUCCGAGAGACCCUUCAACCAGAGCCUCUUUUUGUCGAUCCAUAUGCCGGUUGUUUUGUCUCUACUGAUAAUGAAGUGGACAUGAAGAAGCAGACACACCAUUAUUGUCUUGCAACUAAAUAUAUCGAUGACAAGUUGCUUCAUACUAUCCAUCGUAUGGAUGGGCUCAAGCAGAUUGUUUUGCUAACAGAUGGCAUGGAUACUCGUCCUUAUAGACUUAAUUGGCCAAGUUCAACCUUGAUAUUUGACAUAUCUCCAGAUGAAUUGUACAAAAAAGCAGCCGAAAAACUUGAAGGUGUUGGGGCUAAAAUUUCAAGAAGUUGCUUGUUCUAUCACAUCCCCUUGGUGUCAUCCAAUUUGCAGCAGGUUUUGCACACACAGGGCUUCAAUGGAAGUCGACCAAGUAUAUGGGUCAUCCAGGGCUUGCCUCUUAUAAAUGUGACAAGUUUCAAGGAUAUCUUGUUUGUUGUUAGUAGUAUGGCCAUGAAUGGUAGCCUUUUCUUGGGGGAGUUGCCUGGCUGGCUGGCAGAGACUGGAAUCGGAAGAAAUUUUGAUUCUGGAAAAUGGAUGGACAAGCUUUUCAUGAGCAAUGGUUUUCGAGUGAACAUAAUUAGCUACGACGAAGUUGCAAGGAACUUUGGCAAGCAAUUGACAUCAGAAGAAUACAGCAAAAUACUAUUUGUUGCAGAGCAGUUGCGAUUUUCUGAUGCCCAGAUGGAAACGUGGAGGAGAGAAUUCCAGAGAGUCGAGGAAGAGGGGGAUGAAGAAGGAUUUGAGGAACUCUGAGAUGCAAAGGCAAUCUUAAUCCCUCUAUUCCUUCUCUUUGUCAGAGGCUUCAACGCCUCUCCCAUUUGCUGUUGUCAGAAAUAGUCGCGAUUGGAAGAUCGCCGUUCUAGGGGAUUCCCGGAUUCCUCUCACCUCAUUCUGAGCAGAUGUUUGCAUCUGAUGAAGAUGGUCCCUUUUCUCUCUGUAGUUUGUGGG